AUUGCCUUAAAUGUCACUUGCCACCUAUCGUAUAGUACUAUUUGUUAGUUAGUAUUCCGGAAAAGCAAAACACGGCUAUGGAACAGCCGAAGGAUCUUGACAACGAAAAGAAGGAAAAGGAGAGCCUAGAUUGGAGGGAUACAAUGAGUCAGAUGGAAAUAAUGCGUCUCCUUAGUCUGCAAUCGAAUUCUGAGAAAACCGCGAGCCGGAAGAGAUCUUUUAGUUUAGAUCCAGAGAAGCGUGAAAUUGACGGAAUUUGAAAAAUACAACAUUAACAAAAUUCUGAGCGAUAAAAAAUACUGAAAAACGUGUUGUUUCAUAUCAUUGUUAUCGGCUAUUAAAUAAAAUAAAAGCAGAAU
ensembl:ncRNA lncRNA:CR46040 long non-coding RNA:CR46040